rnacentral:lncRNA from 10 species
CCAGAUAAUUCUUCUGUGUCCUGAUGUUUGCAGACUAUUUUAUUAAAGAGCAUCUCCAUAUUCUGAGAAGGAGCAUACGGAGCCUUCAAUGAGGAUAGCUAUGAGGGAUUAAAUUUGGAAGCAACCUAAGUGUCCAUCAACAGAUGAAUGGAUAAAGAAAAUGUGGUACAUAUACACAAUGGAGUACCAUUCAGCCAUAAAAUAGAAUGACAUCCUGUCAUUUGCAACAACAUGGAUGGAAUUGGAGACCAUGAUGUUAAGUGAAAAUAUUAUUUUUAAAGGGGGAUAUUGGGUUGACCAAAUUGAGAGCUAUAACUAGAUGAAAUCUGAAGCGAUCUCCCUAUUUUUGAAGAAGGCUAGAAGUCAAGUGUAUUCUUCAUUGAUGUUACUCUGUGUUAGUCUCCUUGAAAAUCCUGAACUUCAAUCUCAUGUGGAACUAAGA